GAUGAACGCUAGCGGCAGGCCUAAUACAUGCAAGUCGAACGGGAUCCUGAUCAAAGCUUGCUUUGGUUUGGGGAGAGUGGCGUACGGGUGCGUAACGCGUGGGCAACCUCCCCUUGUCAGGGGGUUAGCCCGGCGAAAGUCGGCUUAAUACCGCUUGACAUCAUUGAGAGGCACCUUUCGAUGAUCAACGAUUUAUGGGACAAGGAUCGGCUCGCGUGACAUUAGCUAGUCGGUAAGGUGACGGCUUACCAAGGCUACGAUGUCUAGGGGCUCUGAGAGGAGAAUACCCCACACUGGUACUGCGACACGGACCAGACUCCUACGGGAGGGAGCAGUAAGGAAUAUUAGGCAAUGGAGGGAAGUCUGAACCAACCGCGCCGCGUGCAGGAAGACGGCCCUAGGGGAUGUAAACUGCUUUUAUACGGGAACAAACGUCUGUACGUGUACCGGUCUGAGGGUACCGGAAGAAUAAGGAUCGGCUAACUCCGUG
rnacentral:rRNA from 1 species